GAUGAAGAACGCAGUGAAGUGCGAUAAGUAAUGUGAAUUGCAGAAUUCCGUGAAUCAUCGAAUCUUUGAACGCAAAUUGCACUCUCUGGCAACCCGGGGAGUAUGCCUGUUUGAGGGUCAGUGUUAAUAAAAAUCGGGUUCGUUGCAAUUUUUGUGACGUUUCCGGAGUUUGAGUUAUCUUAACUUCGGUUUUUAAGAGGCUUAAAAUUGACCUUUUUUUGUGCAUUUUAGACGUACAUAAAUUUUUUUUUAUUCGCCUAUCCUAAUGCCAAAAUCUAUUAGAUGCGACCAUAUCUUGCGGUUCCGUGUCUAUAAAUUUUUCAUGAUUUGACCUCAAAUCAGGUAGGAACACCCGCUGAACUUAAGCAUAUCAAUAAGCGGGGA
rnacentral:misc_RNA from 1 species